AAAAUUUAAAUUUAAAACCACAUAAGCAAUAUUUAGUUAAGAUAUAAUACAUAAAUAAUUUUUUUUAUGUGUGUGUUAAAAAAAAAAGAGAAGGUAGAAGGAACAAAAAAAAAGGGGGGUGGAAGGUUGUUGUUUCUAAGUCCCACAUUGGUUAGAUGAGGGAAGAGAAGAGGUGCCUUCAUGUAUAAAAAGGAGGGGGUGUGUGCAUUAGGAAGCAUGAGAGGCUAAGAUGCAAUUUAGAGAAAAUUGCAACUUUGGGCCCAAAGGUUUGAAUAAUUAAAUUCAAACCUAUAGUUUUUUUUUUAAUAUAAUUUUGGGACUCACAAUCCCAUUUUUAUAUUAUUUUUCUCUCUUCCUCUCACGUUGCUCAGCGUUUUCUCGCAAGGGGGAUUAUUUUCUUUUUUCUUCAGAUUAUAUUGACAAAGAUAGUGGUGAAAAAGGAGUUGUGAAGGGGAACUUGUUAUUCAAGACACAAGGAGCGAGUCCGGCCGAGAAAGCACCAGAGGUGUAACUAUGGUGUAUGAGACACCAUCUUUUACGUUGCCUCUUAUUUUGGAUUAUACAAUGUAUCUUGUGCCAACUUAGGACAUAUCUUCUUUGUGAAGCAUGUAAACUCUAAUCCUUUUUAUUAAAAGUAUUUAUAUGACCAAGAGGAUUAUGUCUGUCCCUCUUGA